rnacentral:misc_RNA from 1 species
AUGAAUUGAAGCAAUCACGACUAAUAUCAGUUAUUAAGCAGAGAGACAAUUAUCCAUGAUUUGGUUGGUUUUGGUACUAAAAAAUGAACAACGAAUUUUUGUGACGCCUUAGUGGUCUUCCAUAAGUUAUGUGAACCAUUUGUUUUACUUGGUGUUUGUAAAUACAUGUAACCUAUAUUUUUUCUAUGUAUUUCAUUGUACCAGACUUAAAAGUUGUGAAAUCAUAACGCCAUGUGUAUAUAGUGAAACAAUGAUUUACUUGUACUUUGUUUUAUAAAAUUCAUUUCUACAUUUUUUUUCAAUUGGUCGUCUUUUAUAACUCUCUAUCAAUUUGGAAGAACCCAUUGCAGUUCAGAUGUUUACCAUUUGCAUUUUUGAAAUUUAAUGAAUUAAGCAGAUACAUGUUAUAACAAAAGUUAAACUCAAAUGUACAUAAAUCUUUUAUUAAAUUCAGGGUAAAUAAUAUUGGUCCCGUUCUUUUGCCAUAUAAUUGUACCUAUAGGUAUAUGUCUACGGAAUUUUGUCUUUAUUUAACAGCAUGUUUUUGCUAAAUAAAAAAAUAUAAUUCAGUGCUUUUGAUUCAUAAGAAAUACAUACUUACAUAUUUAUUUUUUUUGGUAUUUUUGAAAUUUUUUUUUCACUUUUGUUGAGUGUUACACAUGUAAUAGCAUUUUCAUUUAAAACGUUUUUAUUUUUCAGUGUUCUAUUAGAAUGUCUAUAUUUUAUAUUUUUCUAUCUGAACAUAAUAUUGAUUAGAUCUAGUCAUGUACUUUGGCUGAAUAAUAAAUAAACCAGCAAGUCUUGC